rnacentral:rRNA from 1 species
UACACUCCUACGGGAGGCAGCAGUGGGGAAUAUUGGACAAUGGGCGCAAGCCUGAUCCAGCCAUGCCGCGUGAGUGAUGAAGGCCCUAGGGUUGUAAAGCUCUUUCACCGGUGAAGAUAAUGACGGUAACCGGAGAAGAAGCCCCGGCUAACUUCGUGCCAGCAGCCGCGGUAAUACGAAGGGGGCUAGCGUUGUUCGGAUUUACUGGGCGUAAAGCGCACGUAGGCGGACUAUUAAGUCAGGGGUGAAAUCCCGGGGCUCAACCCCGGAACUGCCUUUGAUACUGGUAGUCUUGAGUUCGAGAGAGGUGAGUGGAAUUCCGAGUGUAGAGGUGAAAUUCGUAGAUAUUCGGAGGAACACCAGUGGCGAAGGCGGCUCACUGGCUCGAUACUGACGCUGAGGUGCGAAAGCGUGGGGAGCAAACAGGAUUAGAUACCCUUGUAGUCCCAUGAU